rnacentral:lncRNA from 1 species
UCUCUUUAUUUUUUUUUAAUAAAAUUUGUUUAAAUAGUCAUCAGUGUUAUCUUCUGUGUAAUAGUUUAUCUUAUUUUGCAGGAUAUAUUUUUGACUCUUAACAUUUUGUCAAGUGGUUUUGGAUCAUGUAUUAUUACUCUUUUCAUUUUUACUCUUUUCAAUUUCCGCAUUCUCUUUUAUUUCUAACCAGAAAUGUCAAGCCCAACAAUUAACUUUUUAUUUUGUUUUGUAGGUUAUCCACAUCCAUAACAUUAUCUUUUGGUGGCUGUGUUUCAGUCCAGUAGUUUCCCAAUUUGACAUGUUAAAUUUGUCAUUCGUUUUUUUCUUCAAUAAGCCCUUUAUUUUUGUGCGCCUUAUCUCUUACUUUCUCUCUCAUUUUCCCCCCAGAUUAGAAGUAGAAUUGCACGUGUUUUGGGGCUAGUUAUCUACAUGGUGCAUUGAGCCCUUGGUGGUUACCUUUUCCAACCUUGUUGAUUUAUCCACAUCAAUAUAAUUAUGCUUUGAUGGAGGUCUUUCAAUCCAGUGGUUACCCAAUUUGACGUGUUUUCUUUGUCAUUCGUUUCUUAUUCCUCAUCAACUUUUUUCUGCUCGUCAUAUUCUCUCUCAUUUUUUUCAGAGAUUAGAAGUAAAGCUGCACAUUUGUUUGGGGGGAGUUAUCAACAUGGUGCAUUGAGCCUUUGGUGGUUUACCCUUUUCUAACCUUGCUCAUUUCGGAUCAUGCAUUCAUACUCUUCUUUUCAAUUUCCGCAUUCACAUUUAUUUCGAACCAGAAAAUAUCAAGCCCAAAAAUUAACAUUUAAUUUUUGUUUUGUAGGAAUUUUGUUUGAAUGUUAUCUGCAUCAAUAACAUUAUCCUUUGGUCCCCGUAUUUCAGUCCAGUGGUUACCCAAUUUGAUGUGUUUUAAUUGUCAUUCUUUUUUUGCUCUUCAUUUAGCCCUUUGUUUUUGUGCAUCUUAUCCCUCUCUUUCUCUCGCAUUUUUUUUCUUCCAGAGAUUAGAAGUAGCGCUGCAUGUGCUUUGGGGAAAGUUAUCAACAUGGUGCAUUGAGCCCUUGGUGGUUUACCUUUCAAACCUUGUUUAUUAAUCCACAUCAACGCCAUUAUGCUUUGGUGGGGGUGUUUCAAUCCUUUGGUUACCCAGUUUGACGUGUUUUAUUUUAAUUCGUUUCUUAUUCCUCAUUAAGCCCUUUUUCUGCGUCUUAUUAUCUCUUUUUUUUCCGGAGCUUAGAAGUAAAUCUGCACAUUUGUUUAGGGGGAGUUAUCAACAUGGUGCAUUGAUCCCUUGGUGGUUUACCUUUUCUAACCUUGGUCAUUUCUUUUUUAGAGAUUGAGGUGCCUAAAUUUAUGAAUUAUUAUUUAAAUACCCUUCCCUAUUUUUUGUUUACAACUUGUCAUGGCAUUCACUAUCGAGUUCUUGCUAGUUACCUGUUCUCUGGGUAAUUUUAGUUAUUGACUUGAAUUUUCUGUACCUUAUUAUUUUUUCCUUGAUUAGUUGACAAAAAAAAGUAGUCCUUCAUUUUUUUGUUUUUGUUUCUCCUUGAGUCUUCUUUUUCUUCCUUAUCCUGUAGUUUUUCUCUUCCGAGUGUCCCCAGGCUCAGAGGCAAACUAUUAACUUGGUGCAGAGGGGCCCUAGUGCAAUAAUAUUUCUAGCUUAAUUGAUUUUUUUAUCUGAAUUUUGAAGGUGCUUUUGUUUUCUUGUUUUAAUACUCUUCCUUUCCAUAAUGUUGACAUAGGGAAUUUGGUAGCCUUCUCCGAGUAGGUGGGGCUCUGACUUAUUUAAUCAUUUUUUGUCCACAAGUUAUUUUAAGUUGGAUUCAUCAGUUAUUUACCAACUUGUUUUGUGAUCCUAAUCUUUGCAUUAUCCACUGACAAUCAGAAGUUUAAGCUGGACCUCUUAUUAUGAUAGGCUGUGAUGUAUUAUCUUCGUGGUUUGCUCCUGGUUUCGUGCAAUGGGUAGUUGUGAACUCGACUUGUCAGAUUUUUCUUGCUUUUAAUUGUUUUACGCCUAACAUGGCAAAUUUCAAUUCUUUUCUAUUUUGCAACUUCCCUGCUGCCGCUGUUGGCAUUUUGCUGCUAUCAAGGAUAGUGCCAUCUCCAAACUGGGAACCCUGUAGAUUGUGUUUCAUAAGUUAAUAAUUUGGUCUUUUCUUAUUGAUAAUAUUACUGUGAGAGAACUUCGGUCUACAUAAUUACGUCAACCGGUGUUUGCAGUUCCUUAAUUGAUUGCAUUUUUUCUCUCUUUUGUUUUUUUAAAUGUUUUUAAUCUGUGCGGUUGUCUACUGUGCAUUGUUCCUAGGUUGACUUGGAAAAAACUAGAGUAUUUAGUCGUUGAGGUUCGAAAAAUUAAUUGUAUUAUGUGGUUUUGUAAAUUGUAAUAAAUUUUGAUUUAAUGUACAUCACUUGUAUCUUAUGUAUAAUAAUUUAUCUCAUUUUGCAGUUUAUAUUUAUGACUCUUGAACAUUUUGACUAAGCCUUGUCAGUGGUUUUGGAGCAGGCAUUCUUACUCUUUUCUAUAUUAGCAUUCACAUUUAUUUCUAAACAAAAAAUAUCAAGCCCAACAAUUAACUUUUUACUUUUGUUUUGAAGGAAUUUUGGUUGAAGGUUAUCUACAUCAAUAACAUUAUCCUUUGGUCCCCGUGUUUCAGUCCAGUGGUUACACAAUUUGUAGAGUUUUAUUUGUCAUUCUUUUUGUUUUUCAUUUAACCCUUUGUUUUUGUGCAUCUUAUCCCUCUCUUUCUCUCGCAUUUUUUUCUUCCAGUGAUUAGAAGUAGUGCUGCAUGUGUUUUUGGGGAAGUUAUCAACAUGGUGCAUUGAACCCUUGGUGGUUUACCUUUCAAACCUUUGUUCAUUUCUUUUCUACACAUUGAGUGUCUAAUUUUAUUGAUUAUUCUUUAAAUACUCUUCCCUGAUUUACUACGUGGUCAACUUGAGAUGGCCUUUGCUAUCUAGUUUUUGCUAGUUUCAUGUUCUAUGUGUAUCUUUAGUUAUUGAAUUGAAUUUUCAGUACCUUUUCUUUUGAGAAGUUAACAAUAAAAAGUAAUCCUUCGUACGUUGUUUUUGUUCUUCCUUUAGUCUCAUUCUACUCCCUUAUCCCCUAGUUUUUAUGUUCGGUGUUCCAAGGGAUAGUGGGUCUUUAACGAAAUAAAUUUGUCUGGCAUAGUUAAAUUCUUUUCUGAAAUUUUAUGGUGCUUACCUAUUGUAUUCUUGUUUUAAUGGUCUUCCCAUCCUAUUAUGUUGACAUAUAGGGCAUUUGGUAACCUUCUUUAUUGGAGGAGGCGAGGUUCUGACAGAAGCCUAAGCUGGACCUCUUGUUAUGAAGGCUGUUGUUUAUUCUCUUCCUAGUUUGCUCCUUGUUUCAUGCAAUGGGUAGUUCUGGACUCAAUAAUUGUCAGUUUUUUCUUGUUUGUUACCUAACCAGUUAUCGUCUAACACGGCACAUUUGAGUCCUCUUCUAUUGUGGACUUACCCAUCAUUUCUGUUGCUACUUUCAAGAAUAGUGCCAUCUUGUACUACUAUCAAAUAGGGAAGCAUGUAAAUUGUGUCUUAUGUUAAUAGUUUUGUCUUUUCUUUAUGAUAAUCUUACUGUGAGAGAACUUUGGUCUACGUUGUAACAUCAACCGGUGUUUGCAGUUCCUUAAUUGAUUGCAUUUUCUUCUCUCUUUUUAUUUUCUUUUUUAAGAUUUUCUAAUAUGUUUGUGGUUGUCUACACUGCAUUGUUUCUAGGUAAAGAUAAUAUUACUGUGAGAGAUCUUGGGUCUACGUUGUAACAUCAACAGGUGUUUUCAGCUCCUUAAUUGAUUGCCUUAUCUUCUCUUAUGUUUUUUUAAUAAAAUUUGUUUAAAUAGUCAUCAGUGUUAUCUUCUGUGUAAUAGUUUAUCUUAUUUUGCAGGAUAUAUUUUUGACUCUUAUCAUUUUGAUUUAACCAGAAAUGUCAAGCCCAACAAUUAACUUUUUAUUUUGUUUUGAAGGUUAUCCACAUCCAUAACAUUAUCUUUUGGUGGCAGUGUUUCAGUCCAGUAGUUUCCCAAUUUGACAUGUUAAAUUUGGCAUUCGUUUUUUUCUUCAUUAAGCCCUUUAUUUUUGUGCGCCUUAUCUCUUACUUUCUCUCUCAUUUUUUCCCCAGAUUAGAAGUAGAGUUGCACGUGUUUUGGGGCUAGUUAUCAACAUGGUGCAUUGAGCCCUUGGUGGUUACCUAUUCCAACCUUGUUGAUUUAUCCACAUCAAUAUAUUUAUGCUUUGAUGGAGGUCUUUCAAUCCAGUGGUUACCCAAUUUGACGGUUUUCUUUGUCAUUCGUUUCUUAUUCCUCAUCAACUUUUUUCUGCUCGUCAUAUUCUCUCUCAUUUUUUUCAGAGAUUAGAAGUAAAGUUGCACAUUUGUUUGGGGGGAGUUAUCAACAUGGUGCAUUGAGCCUUUGGUGGUUUACCCUUUUCUAACCUUGCUCAUUUCGGAUCAUGCAUUCAUACUCUUCUUUUUAAUUUCCGCAUUCACUUUUAUUUCGAACUAGAAAAUAUCAAGCCCAACAAUUAACUUUUAAUUUUUGUUUUGAAGGAAUUUUGUUUGAAUGUUAUUUGCAUCAAUAACAUUAUCCUUUGGCCCCUGUGUUUCAGUCUAGUGGUUACCCAAUUUGAUGUGUUUUAUUUGUCAUUCUUUUUUUGCUCUUCAUUUAGCUCUUUGUUUUUGUGCAUCUUAUCCCUCUCUUUCUCUCGCAUUUUUUUUCUUCCAGAGAUUUUAGAAGUAGAGCUGCAUGUGUUUUGGGGGAUGUUAUCAACAUGGUGCAUUGAGCCCUUGGCGGUUUACCUUUCAAACCUUGUUUAUUAAUCCACAUCAAUGCCAUUAUGCUUUGGUGGGGGUGUUUCAAUCCUUUGGUUACCCAAUUUGACGUGUUUGUUUUUUAAUUCGUUUCUUAUUCCUCUUUAAGCCCUUUUUCUGCGUCUUUUUAUCUUUCUUUUUUCCCAGAGAUUAGAAGUAAAUCUGCACAUUUGUUUAGGGGGAGUUAUCAACGUGGUGCAUUGAUCCCUUGGUGGUUUACCUUUUCUAACCUUGGUCAUUUCUUUUUUAGAGAUUGAGGUGCCUAAAUUUAUGAAUUAUUAUUUAAAUACCCUUCCCUAUUUUAUGUUUACAACUUGUCUUGGCAUUCACUAUCGAGUUCUUGCUAGUUACCUGUUCUCUGGGUAAUUUUAGUUAUUGACUUGAAUUUUCUGUACCUUUUUAUUUUUUCCUUGAUUAGUUGACAAAAAAAAGUAGUCCUUCAUUUUUUUGUUUUUGUUUUUCCUUGAGUCUUCUUUUGUCUUCCUUAUCCUGUUGUUUUUCUCUUCCGAGUGUCCCCAGGCUCCGAGGCAAACUAUUAACUUGGUGCAGAGGGGCCCUAGUGCAGUAAUAUUUCUAGCUUAAUUGAUUUUUUUAUCUGAAUUUUGAAGGUGCUUUUGUAUUAUUGUUUUAAUACUCUUCCUUUCCAUAAUGUUGACAUAGGGAAUUUGGUAGCCUUCUCCGAGUAGGUGGGGCUCUGACUUAUUUUAUCAUUUUUUGUCCAUGAGCUAUUUUAAGUUGAAUUCAUCAGUUAUUUACCAACUUGUUUUGUGAUCCUGAUCUUUGCAUUAUCCACUGACAAUCAGAAGCCUAAGCUUGACCUCUUAUUAUGAUAGGCUGUGAUGUAUUAUCUUUCGUGGUUUGCUCCUGGUUUCGUGCAAUGGGUAGUUCUGAACUCGACUUGUCAGAUUUUUCUUGCUUUUAAUUGUUUUACGCCUAACAUGGAAAAUUUCAAUUCUUUUCUAUUUUGCAACUUCCCUGCUGCCACUGUUGGCAUUUUGCUGCUAUCAAGGAUACUGCCAUCCGGUAAUUCCAAACUGGGAAGCCUGUAAAUUGUGUUUCAUAUGUUAAUAAUUUGGUCUUUUCUUAUUGAUAAUAUUACUGUGAGAGAACUUCGGCCUACAUAAUUACGUCAACCGGUGUUUGCAGUUCCUUAAUUGAUUGCAUUUUGUUCUCUCUUUUGUUUUUUUUAAAUGUUUUUAAUCUGUGUGGUUGUCUACUGUGCAUUGUUCCUAGGUUGACUUGGAAAAAACUAGAGUAUUUAGUCGUUGAGGUUCGAAAAAUUAAUUGUAUUAUGUGGUUUUGUAAAUUGUAAUAAAUUUUGAUCUAAUGUACAUCACUUGUAUCUUAUGUAUAAUAAUUUAUCUCAUUUUGAAGGAUAUAUUUUUGACUCUUGAACAUUUUGACUAAGCCUUGUCAGUGGUUUUGGAGCAGGCAUUCUUACUCUUUUCUAUAUCAGCAUUCACAUUUAUUUCUAAACAAAAAAUAUCAAGCCCAACAAUUAACUUUCUACUUUUGUUUUGAAGGAAUUUCGGUUGAAGGUUAUCUACAUCAAUAACAUUAUCCUUUGGUCCCCGUGUUGCAGUCCAGUGGUUACCCAAUUUAUAGUGUUUUAUUUGUCAUUCUUUUUGUUUUUCAUUUAGCCCUUUGUUUUUGUGCAUCUUAUCCCUCUCUUUCUCUCGCAUUUUUUUCUUCCAGAGAUUAGAAGUAGUGUUGCAUGUGUUUUUGGGGAAGUUAUCAACAUGGUGCAUUGAACCCUUGGUGGUUUACCUUUCAAACCUUUGUUCAUUUCUUUUCUACACAUUGAGUGUCUAAUUUUAUUGAUUAUUCUUUAAAUACUCUUCCCUGAUUUACUACAUGGUCAACUUGAGAUGGCAUUUGCUAUCUAGUUUUGGCUAGUUUCAUGUUCUAUGUGUAUCUUUAGUUAUUGAAUUGAAUUUUCAGUACCUUUUCUUUUGAGAAGUUAACAAUAAAAAGUAAUCCUUCGUACGUUGUUUUUGUUCUUCCUUUAGUCUCAUUCUACUCCCUUAUCCCCUAGUUUUUAUGUUCAGUGUUCCAAGGGAUAGUGGGUCUUUAGCGAAAUAAAUUUGUCUGGCAUAGUUAAAUUCUUUUCUGAAAUUUUAUGGUGCUUACCUAUUGUAUUCUUGUUUUAAUGGUCUUCCCAUCCGAUUAUGUUGACAUAUAGGGCAUUUGGUAACCUUCUUUAUUGGAGGAGGCGAGGUUCUGACUUAUUUUAUUUUUUUUGUCCAAAAUUAUCUGGAAUUGUAUUCAUUGGUUAUCUAACAGCUUGUUUUGUGACCCUUGUCUUUCUGUUGUCCACUGACAUUCAGAAGCCUAAGCUGGACCUCUUAUUAUGAAGGCUGUUGUGUAUUCUCUUCCUUGUUUGCUCCUGGUUUCAUGCAAUGGGUAGUUCUGGACUCAAUAAUUUUCAGUUUUUUCUUAUUUGUUACCUAACCAGUUAUCGUCUAACAUUUCACAUUUGAAUCAUCUUCUAUUGUGGACUUCCCCACCACUGUUGUUGCUACUAUCAAGGUAGUGUUAUCUUGUACUACCAAAUAGGAAGCAUGUAAAUUGUGUCUUAUGUUAAUAGUUUUGUCUUUUCUUUAUGAUAAUCUUACUGUGAGAGAACUUUGGUCUACGUUGUAACAUCAACCGGUGUUUGCAGUUCCUUAAUUGAUUGCAUUUUCUUCUCUCUUUUUAUUUCUUUUUUAAAAUUUUCUAAUAUGUUUGUGGUUGUCUACACUGCAUUGUUUCUAGGUAAAGAUAAUAUUACUGUGAGAGAUCUUGGGUCUACGUUGUAACAUCAACGGGUGCUUGCAGCUCCUUAAUUGAUUGCGUUUUCUUCUCUUAUGUUUUUUUAUUAAAAUUUGUUCAAAUAGUCAACAAUUAACUUUUUAUUUUGUUUUGAAGGUUAUCCACAUCCAUAAUUUGGCAUUCGUUUUUUUCUUCAUUAAGCCCUUUAUUUUUGUGCGCCUUAUCUCUUACUUUCUCUCUCAUUUUUCCCCCAGAUUAGAAGUAGAGUUGCACGUGUUUUGGGGCUAGUUAUCAACAUUGUUCAUUGAGCCCUUGGUGGUUACCUUUUCCAACCUUGUUGAUUUAUCCACAUCAAUAUAUUUAUGCUUUGAUGGAGGUUUUUCAAUCCAGUGGUUACCCAAUUUGACGUGUUUUCUUUGUCAUUCGUUUCUUAUUCCUCACCAACUUUUUUCUGCUCGUCAUAUUCUCUCUCAUUUUUUUCAGAGAUUAGAAGUAAAGCUGCACAUUUGUUUGGGGGGAGGUAUCAACAUGGUGCAUUGAGCCUUUGGUGGUUUACCCUUUUCUAACCUUGCUCAUUUCGGAUCAUGCAUUCAUACUCUUCUUUUUAAUUUCCGCAUUCACUUUUAUUUCGAACUAGAAAAUAUCAAGCCCAACAAUUAACUUUUAAUUUUUGUUUUGAAGGAAUUUUGUUUGAAUGUUAUUUGCAUCAAUAACAUUAUCCUUUGGUCCCCGUGUUUCAGUCUAGUGGUUACCCAAUUUGAUGUGUUUUAAUUGUCAUUCUUUUUUUGCUCUUCAUUUAGCCCUUUGUUUUUGUGCAUCUUAUCCCUCUCUUUCUCUCGCAUUUUUUUUCUUCUAGAGAUUAGAAGUAGAGUUGCAUGUGUUUUGGGGUAAGUUAUCAACAUGGUGCAUUAAGCCCUUGGUGGUUUACCUUUCAAACCUUGUUUAUUAAUCCACAUCAAUGCCAUUAUGCUUUGGUGGGGGUGUUUCAAUCCUUUGGUUACCCAGUUUGACGUGUUUUUUUUAAUUCGUUUCUUAUUCCUCAUUAAGCCCUUUUUCUGUAUCUUAUUAUCUCUUUUUUUUUCAGAGCUUAGAAGUAAAUCUGCACAUUUGUUUAGGGGGAGUUAUCAACGUGGUGCAUUGAUCCCUUGGUGGUUUACCUUUUCUAACCUUGGUCAUUUCUUUUAUAGAGAUUGAGGUGCCUAAAUUUAUGAAUUAUUAUUUAAAUACCCUUCCCUAUUUUUUGUUUACAACUUGUCAUGGCAUUCACUAUCGAGUUCUUGCUAGUUACCUGUUCUCUGGGUAAUUUUAGUUAUAUACUUGAAUUUUCUGUACCUUAUUAUUUUUUCCUUGAUUAGUUGACAAAAAAAAGUAGUCGUCCUUCAUUUUUUUGUUUUUGUUUUUUCUUGAGUUCUUUUUCUUCCUUAUCCUGUCGUUUUUCUCUUCCGAGUGUCCCCAGGCUCAGAGGCAAACUAUUAACUUGGUGCAGAGGGGCCCUAGUGCAAUAAUAUUUCUAGCUUAAUUGAUUUUUUUAUCUGAAUUUUGAAGGUGCUUUUGUUUUCUUGUUUUAAUACCUCCUUUCCAUAAUGUUGACAUAGGGAAUUUGGUAGCCUUCUCUGAGUAGGUGAGGCUCUGACUUAUUUAAUCAUUUUUUGUCCACGAGUUAUUUUAAGUUGAAUUCAUCAGUUAUUUACCAACUUGUUUUGUGAUCCUGAUCUUUGCAUUAUCCACUGACAAUCAGAAGCCUAAGCUGGACCUCUUAUUAUGAUAGGCUGUGAUGUAUUAUCUUCGUGGUUUGCUCCUGGUUUCGUGCAAUGGGUAGUUGUGAACUCGACUUGUCAGAUUUUUCUUGCUUUUAAUUGUUUUACGCCUAACAUGGCAAAUUUCAAUUCUUUUCUAUUUUGCAACUUCCCUGCUGCCGCUGUUGGCAUUUUGCUGCUAUCAAGGAUAGUGUCAUCCGGUAAUUCCAAACUGGGAAGCCUGUAGAUUGUGUUUCAUAAGUUAAUAAUUUGGUCUUUUCUUAUUGAUAAUAUUACUGUGAGAGAACUUCGGUCUACAUAAUUACGUCAACCGGUGUUUGCAGUUCCUUAAUUGAUUGCAUUUUGUUCUCUCUUUUCUCAUUUAUUUUUUUAAAUGUUUUUAAUAUG